AGCCGGGUCCCGCGCAACGGACAUCCGUGAACCCCGUCAGGCCCGGAAGGGAGCAGCGGUAACGGUUUUGGACGUGUGCCGCGGGGGUGCCUGGCUGUC
rfam:Malonomonas rubra DSM 5091 genome assembly, contig: EJ68DRAFT_scaffold00012.12